rnacentral:rRNA from 1 species
GACGAACGCUGGCGGCGUGCUUAACACAUGCAAGUCGAACGGAAAGGCCCUGCUUUUGCGGGGUGCUCGAGUGGCGAACGGGUGAGUAACACGUGAGUAACCUGCCCUUGACUUUGGGAUAACUUCAGGAAACUGGGGCUAAUACCGGAUAGGAGCUCCUGCUGCAUGGUGGGGGUUGGAAAGUUUCGGCGGUUGGGGAUGGACUCGCGGCUUAUCAGCUUGUUGGUGGGGUAGUGGCUUACCAAGGCUUUGACGGGUAGCCGGCCUGAGAGGGUGACCGGCCACAUUGGGACUGAGAUACGGCCCAGACUCCUACGGGAGGCAGCAGUGGGGAAUAUUGCACAAUGGGCGGAAGCCUGAUGCAGCAACGCCGCGUGCGGGAUGACGGCCUUCGGGUUGUAAACCGCUUUCGCCUGUGACGAAGCGUGAGUGACGGUAAUGGGUAAAGAAGCACCGGCUAACUACGUGCCAGCAGCCGCGGUGAUACGUAGGGUGCGAGCGUUGUCCGGAUUUAUUGGGCGUAAAGGGCUCGUAGGUGGUUGAUCGCGUCGGAAGUGUAAUCUUGGGGCUUAACCCUGAGCGUGCUUUCGAUACGGGUUGACUUGAGGAAGGUAGGGGAGAAUGGAAUUCCUGGUGGAGCGGUGGAAUGCGCAGAUAUCAGGAGGAACACCAGUGGCGAAGGCGGUUCUCUGGGCCUUUCCUGACGCUGAGGAGCGAAAGCGUGGGGAGCGAACAGGCUUAGAUACCCUGGUAGUCCACGCUGUAAACGGUGGGUACUAGGUGUGGGGUCCAUUCCACGGGUUCCGUGCCGUAGCUAACGCUUUAAGUACCCCGCCUGGGGAGUACGGCCGCAAGGCUAAAACUCAAAGGAAUUGACGGGGCCCCGCACAAGCGGCGGAGCAUGCGGAUUAAUUCGAUGCAACGCGUAGAACCUUACCUGGGUUUGACAUGGAUCGGGAGUGCUCAGAGAUGGGUGUGCCUCUUUUGGGGUCGGUUCACAGGUGGUGCAUGCCUGUCGUCAGCUCGUGUCGUGAGAUGUUGGGUUAAGUCCCGCAACGAGCGCAACCCUUGUUCACUGUUGCCAGCACGUUAUGGUGGGGACUCAGUGGAGACCGCCGGGGUCAACUCGGAGGAAGGUGGGGAUGACGUCAAGUCCUCAUGCCCCUUAUGUCCAGGGCUUCACGCAUGCUACAAUGGCUGGUACAGAGAGUGGCGAGCCUGUGAGGGUGAGCGAAUCUCGGAAAGCCGGUCUCAGUUCGGAUUGGGGUCUGCAACUCGACCUCAUGAAGUCGGAGUCGCUAGUGAUCGCAGAUCAGCAACGCUGCGGUGAAUACGUUCCCGGG